rnacentral:rRNA from 1 species
UUAAAUUGAGAGUUUGAUCCUGGCUCAGGACGAACGCUGGCGGCGUGCUUAACACAUGCAAGUCGAACGGGAUUUAGUAGACAGAAACCUCGGUGGAAGAUUACUAAUGAGAGUGGCGAACGGGUGAGUAACGCGUGAGCAACCUGCCUAUGACAGUGGGAUAGCCUCGGGAAACCGGGAUUAAUACCGCAUAAAAUCGUAGAAACA